rnacentral:rRNA from 1 species
GAUGAACGCUGGCGGCGUGCCUAAUACAUGCAAGUCGAGCGAACAGACGAGGAGCUUGCUCCUCUGACGUUAGCGGCGGACGGGUGAGUAACACGUGGAUAACCUACCUAUAAGACUGGGAUAACUUCGGGAAACCGGAGCUAAUACCGGAUAAUAUAUUGAACCGCAUGGAUCAAUAGUGAAAGACGGUUUUGCUGUCACUUAUAGACGGAUCCGCGCCGCAUUAGCUAGUUGGUAAGGUACCGGCUUACCAAGGCAACGAUGCGUAGCCGACCUGAGAGGAUGAUCGGCCACACUGGAACUGAGACACGGUCCAGACUCCUACGGGAGGCAGCAGUAGGGAAUCUUCCGCAAUGGGCGAAAGCCUGACGGAGCAACGCCGCGUGAGUGAUGAAGGUCUUCGGAUCGUAAAGCUCUGUUAUUAGGGAAGAACAAAUGUGUAAGUAACUAUGCACGUCUUGACGGUACCUAAUCAGAAAGCCACGGCUAACUACGUG